AUUAAACGCUGGCGGCAUGCCUGACACAUGCAAGUCGAACGGCAACGGGGCCUGGUACUUGUACCUGGCGGACGGCGAGUGGCGAACGGGUGAGUAAUACGCAGGAAUAUAUCCUGAAGAGCGGGACAACUUGUGGAAACGCGAGCUAAUACCGCAUGGACUCUGAGGAGUAAGGGCCUGGGACCUUGAGAGAGGCCAGGCGCUUUGGGGAUAGCCUGUGUCCGAUUAGCUUGUUGGUGGGGUAAAGGCUUACCAAGGCGAUGAUCGGUAGCUGGUCUGAGAGGAUGAACAGCCACACCGGGACUGAGACACGGCCCGGACUCCUACGGGAGGCAGCAGUGGGGAAUAUUGGACAAUGGGGGGAACCCUGAUCCAGCAAUGCCGCGUGUGUGAAGAAGGCCUGCGGGUUGUAAAGCACUAUCGGUGGGGAGGAGGAUGCUUUGGUUAAGAGCUGGAGUAUUGGACGUUACCCACAGAAGAAGCACCGGCUAACUCCGUAGCC
rnacentral:rRNA from 1 species